rnacentral:antisense_RNA from 1 species
CUUCACCGAGCCGAGCAGCAGCGGCGCCUCCCGGUUCGCCCCGUAGGUGGCGAGCAGCGCCUGCGCCUC